UGGGUAAGUGGCGAAAUUUGGUAAACGCAUCAUAUUCAAAAUUUGACAACAUUGUUUUGAGGGUUCGAAUCCCUCCUUACCUAU
rnacentral:tRNA from 1 species